GAUGGACGCUGGCGGCGUGCCUAAUACAUGCAAGUCGAGCGAACGGACGAGAAGCUUGCUUCUCUGAUGUUAGCGGCGGACGGGUGAGUAACACGUGGAUAACCUACCUAUAAGACUGGGAUAACUUCGGGAAACCGGAGCUAAUACCGGAUAAUAUUUUGAACCGCAUGGUUCAAAAGUGAAAGACGAUCUUGCUGUCACUUAUAGAUGGAUCCGCGCUGCAUUAGCUAGUUGGUAAGGUAACGGCUUACCAAGGCAACGAUGCAUAGCCGACCUGAGAGGGUGAUCGGCCACACUGGAACUGAGACACGGUCCAGACUCCUACGGGAGGCAGCAGUAGGGAAUCUUCCUCAAUGGGCGAAAGCCUGACGGAGCAACGCCGCGUGAGUGAUGAAGGUCUUCGGAUCGUAAAACUCUGUUAUUAGGGAAGAACAUAUGUGUAAGUAACUGUGCACAUCUUGACGGUACCUAAUCAGAAAGCCAGGGCUAACUACGUG
rnacentral:rRNA from 1 species